UAAUUAAGUACGAAAAGGAUAUGAUUUGUUUUUUAAGACUCACAGAAAAUUCUUUCUUGGCUGAAAAAAGAAUAGUCACUAAUCAAAUUGCUCCCUUUUUCUAUUUUGGUAGAAAUACCGACGCAGCUCAGCGUUAUCGAGUUUAAGAGGUAAUGAUUACACAUCAUUGCAAUCAAGGUGGUACCGCGAGUUUUCGUCCUUGGC
rnacentral:ncRNA from 1 species